AGUGAACGCUGGCGGUAGGCCUAACACAUGCAAGUCGAACGGCAGCACAGUAAGAGCUUGCUCUUACGGGUGGCGAGUGGCGGACGGGUGAGGAAUACAUCGGAAUCUACUUUUUCGUGGGGGAUAACGUAGGGAAACUUACGCUAAUACCGCAUACGACCUACGGGUGAAAGCAGGGGAUCUUCGGACCUUGCGCGAUUGAAUGAGCCGAUGUCGGAUUAGCUAGUUGGCGGGGUAAAGGCCCACCAAGGCGACACUCCGUAGCUGGUCUGAGAGGAUGAUCAGCCACACUGGAACUGAGACACGGUCCAGACUCCUACGGGAGGCAGCAGUGGGGAAUAUUGGACAAUGGGCGCAAGCCUGAUCCAGCCAUACCGCGUGGGUGAAGAAGGCCUUCGGGUUGUAAAGCCCUUUUGUUGGGAAAGAAAAGCAGCAGGUUAAUACCCCGCUGUUCUGACGGUACCCAAAGAAUAAGCACCGGCUAACUUCGUG
rnacentral:rRNA from 1 species